ACCUGGUGGUGUGGGCAUUUACGUAAGAGGUCCCUAAAAUGCUCCCAUAUCUCGAAAAAUAGUUCCCCAUCCAAUUGUGAGAAACUAGUGAUGGUUCUCCUAAGUU